rnacentral:rRNA from 1 species
CAUGCGAGUCAUUGUAGCAAUACAAGGCAGACGGCUCAGUAGCGCGUAGUCAAUCUACCCUGUUGACGGGGAUAACCUCGGGAAACUGAGAAUAAUACCCGAUAGAACAUUAUGCCUGGAAUGGUUUAUGUUUCAAAUGAUUUAUCGCAAUAGGAUGGGACUGCGGCCUAUCAGUUUGUUGGUGAGGUAAUGGCCCACCAAGACUAUUACAGGUACGGGCCCUGAGAGGAGUGGCCCGGAGAUGGGUACUGAGACACGGACCCAGGCCCUAUGGGGCGCAGCAGGCGAGAAAACUUUGCAAUGUGCGAAAGCACGACAAGGUUAAUCCGAGUGGUUUCUGCUAAAGAAACCUUUUGUCAGUCCUAGAAACACUGAUGAAUAAGGGGUGGGCAAGUUCUGGUGUCAGCCGCCGCGGUAAAACCAGCACCUCAAGUGGUCAGGAUGAUUAUUGGGCCUAAAGCAUCCGUAGCUUGUUUUGUAAGUUUUCGGUUAAAUCCAUACGCUUAACGUAUGGGCUGCCGGGAAUACUGCAUAACUAGGAAGUGGGAGAGGUAGACGGUACUCGGUAGGAAGGGGUAAAAUCCUUUGAUCUAUUGAUGACCACCUGUGGCGAAGGCGGUCUACCAGAACACGUUCGACGGUGAGGGAUGAAAGCUGGGGGAGCAAACCGGAUUAGAUACCCGGGUAGUCCCAGCUGUAAACUAUGCAAACUCAGUGAUGCAUUGGCUUGUGGCCAAUGCAGUGCUGCAGGGAAGCCGUUAAGUUUGCCGCCUGGGAAGUACGUACGCAAGUAUGAAACUUAAAGGAAUUGGCGGGGGAGCACCACAAGGGGUGAAGCCUGCGGUUCAAUUGGAGUCAAC